rnacentral:rRNA from 1 species
CCUACGUAGGACAGCAGUGGGGAAUAUUGCACAAUGGGGGAAACCCUGAUGCAGCACCGCCGCGUGGGUGAAGAAGUAUUUCGGUAUGUAAAGCCCUAUCAGCAGGGAAGAGAAUGACGGUACCUUACUAAGACGCCCCGGCUAACUACGUGCCAGCAGCCGUGAUAAUACGGGGGCGGCAAGCGUGAUCCGGAUUUAUAGGGUUUAAAGGGUGCGUAGGCUGUGAGGUAAGUCAGCGGUGAAAUGCCCCCGCGCAACGGGGUGAAGUGCCAUUGAUACUGGCUUGCUGGAAUGCGGAUGCCGUGGGAGGAAUGUGUGGUGUAGCGGUGAAAUGCAUAGAUAUCACACAGAACACCGAUUGCGAAGGCAUCUCACGAAUCCCCGAUUGACGCUGAUGCACGAAAGCGUGGGUAUCAAACAGGAUUAGAUACCCUAGUAGUC